rnacentral:rRNA from 1 species
UAAGGAAUAUUGGUCAAUGGUCGGAAGACUGAACCAGCCACGCCGCGUGCAGGAUGAAGGUCCUCUGGAUUGUAAACUGCUUUUAUUCGGGGCUAAGAGCGGGCUAUAUGCCUGUGUGAAGGUACCGAAGGAAUAAGCCACGGCUAACUACGUGCCAGCAGCCGCGGUAAUACGUAGGUGGCGAGCGUUGUCCGGAUUUAUUGGGUUUAAAGGGUGCGUAGGCGGUUUAAUAAGUCAGUCGUCAAAUUCAAUUGCUUAACAAUUGGUCGGCGAUUGAUACUGUUAGACUUGAAUUCGUUGGAGGUAGCCGGAAUACGUGGUGUAGCGGUGAAAUGCAUAGAUAUCACGUAGAACACCGAUUGCGGAGGCAAGUUGCUACAACGAGAUUGACGCUGAGGCA